CAGCCUAUUUGGUGUAGCCGUUCAACGAUUUCUUUCGUUGUCUUUCUAUUUGUAGGAUUCACUCUUCAAGUGGUGUUGAAAUUAGCAAUCUAUUUGUGUUUUGAUACAUACUGGCCAGAUCUAGCUCUUUUCGUCAUCAGCCAUAGCUAGAGCUUGAAACUCACCAUUAAUUGUGAAUCUUAGAGUAAGGAAAGGAAAAUAAGACAAAUUUAGCGGUGGUUGUAGGGGGUGUGUGUUGGGUGUUGCAGAAAAGUGAAGGAAAAGGUGAAAAGGGUGCCCAGAUCCAGUUCUUUCCGUCCUUAUCUAUUGCUAGAGCUCAAAGCUCACCAUUAAUAGUAGAAGUUCAAGUAAUGAAAGAGAAAUCAAAAUUGAAAAAUUGUAGAGACUGAAAGCUACUAAUUUGGAGAAGAAAAAGAAAUUAUAAGAGAGAAAAAGUUAUAAAAGAAAGUGGGAAAAGAUGAGACAUGAAAAUAGGAAGAAUAUUAGGA
rnacentral:lncRNA from 1 species